rnacentral:tRNA from 1 species
UGCGGGAUAGAGCAGUUUGGUAGCUCGUUAGGCUCAUAACCUAAAGGUCACAGGUUCGAAUCCUGUUCCCGCAA